GACGAACGCUGGCGGCGUGCUUAACACAUGCAAGUCGAACGGAAAGGCCCUGCUUUUGUGGGGUGCUCGAGUGGCGAACGGGUGAGUAACACGUGAGUAACCUGCCCUUGACUUUGGGAUAACUUCCGGAAACUGGGGCUAAUACCGGAUAGGAGCUCCUGCUGCAUGGUGGGGGUUGGAAAGUUUCGGCGGUUGGGGAUGGACUCGCGGCUUAUCAGCUUGUUGGUGGGGUAGUGGCUUACCAAGGCUUUGACGGGUAGCCGGCCUGAGAGGGUGACCGGCCACAUUGGGACUGAGAUACGGCCCAGACUCCUACGGGAGGCAGCAGUGGGGAAUAUUGCACAAUGGGCGGAAGCCUGAUGCAGCAACGCCGCGUGCGGGAUGACGGCCUUCGGGUUGUAAACCGCUUUCGCCUGUGACGAAGCGUGAGUGACGGUAAUGGGUAAAGAAGCACCGGCUAACUACGUGCCAGCAGCCGCGGUGAUACGUAGGGUGCGAGCGUUGUCCGGAUUUAUUGGGCGUAAAGGGCUCGUAGGUGGUUGAUCGCGUCGGAAGUGUAAUCUUGGGGCUUAACCCUGAGCGUGCUUUCGAUACGGGUUGACUUGAGGAAGGUAGGGGAGAAUGGAAUUCCUGGUGGAGCGGUGGAAUGCGCAGAUAUCAGGAGGAACACCAGUGGCGAAGGCGGUUCUCUGGGCCUUUCCUGACGCUGAGGAGCGAAAGCGUGGGGAGCGAACAGGCUUAGAUACCCUGGUAGUCCACGCUGUAAACGGUGGGUACUAGGUGUGGGGUCCAUUCCACGGGUUCCGUGCCGUAGCUAACGCUUUAAGUACCCCGCCUGGGGAGUACGGCCGCAAGGCUAAAACUCAAAGGAAUUGACGGGGCCCCGCACAAGCGGCGGAGCAUGCGGAUUAAUUCGAUGCAACGCGUAGAACCUUACCUGGGUUUGACAUGGAUCGGGAGUGCUCAGAGAUGGGUGUGCCUCUUUUGGGGUCGGUUCACAGGUGGUGCAUGGCUGUCGUCAGCUCGUGUCGUGAGAUGUUGGGUUAAGUCCCGCAACGAGCGCAACCCUUGUUCACUGUUGCCAGCACGUUAUGGUGGGGACUCAGUGGAGACCGCCGGGGUCAACUCGGAGGAAGGUGGGGAUGACGUCAAGUCAUCAUGCCCCUUAUGUCCAGGGCUUCACGCAUGCUACAAUGGCUGGUACAGAGAGUGGCGAGCCUGUGAGGGUGAGCGAAUCUCGGAAAGCCGGUCUCAGUUCGGAUUGGGGUCUGCAACUCGACCUCAUGAAGUCGGAGUCGCUAGUAAUCGCAGAUCAGCAACGCUGCGGUGAAUACGUUCCCGGG
rnacentral:rRNA from 1 species